rnacentral:rRNA from 1 species
GAUUAAGUUAUUAAGGGCGCACGGUGGAUGCCUUGGCACUAGAAGCCGAUGAAGGACGUUACUAACGACGAUAUGCUUUGGGGAGCUGUAAGUAAGCUUUGAUCCAGAGAUUUCCGAAUGGGGAAACCCAGCAUGAGUUAUGUCAUGUUAUCGAUAUGUGAAUACAUAGCAUAUCAGAAGGCACACCCGGAGAACUGAAACAUCUUAGUACCCGGAGGAAGAGAAAGAAAAUUCGAUUCCCUUAGUAGCGGCGAGCGAAACGGGAAGAGCCCAAACCAACAAGCUUGCUUGUUGGGGUUGUAGGACACUCUAUACGGAGUUACAAAGGACGACAUUAGACGAAUCAUCUGGAAAGAUGAAUCAAAGAAGGUAAUAAUCCUGUAGUCGAAAAUGUUGUCUCUCUUGAGUGGAUCCUGAGUACGACGGAGCACGUGAAAUUCCGUCGGAAUCUGGGAGGACCAUCUCCUAAGGCUAAAUACUCUCUAGUGACCGAUAGUGAACCAGUACCGUGAGGGAAAGGUGAAAAGCACCCCGGAAGGGGAGUGAAAUAGAACCUGAAACCGUGUGCUUACAAGUAGUCAGAGCCCGUUAAUGGGUGAUGGCGUGCCUUUUGUAGAAUGAACCGGCGAGUUACGAUUUGAUGCAAGGUUAAGCAGUAAAUGUGGAGCCGUAGCGAAAGCGAGUCUGAAUAGGGCGUUUAGUAUUUGGUCGUAGACCCGAAACCAGGUGAUCUACCCUUGGUCAGGUUGAAGUUCAGGUAACACUGAAUGGAGGACCGAACCGACUUACGUUGAAAAGUGAGCGGAUGAACUGAGGGUAGCGGAGAAAUUCCAAUCGAACCUGGAGAUAGCUGGUUCUCUCCGAAAUAGCUUUAGGGCUAGCCUCAAGUGAUGAUUAUUGGAGGUAGAGCACUGUUUGGACGAGGGGCCCCUCUCGGGUUACCGAAUUCAGACAAACUCCGAAUGCCAAUUAAUUUAACUUGGGAGUCAGAACAUGGGUGAUAAGGUCCGUGUUCGAAAGGGAAACAGCCCAGACCACCAGCUAAGGUCCCAAAAUAUAUGUUAAGUGGAAAAGGAUGUGGCGUUGCCCAGACAACUAGGAUGUUGGCUUAGAAGCAGCCAUCAUUUAAAGAGUGCGUAAUAGCUCACUAGUCGAGUGACACUGCGCCGAAAAUGUACCGGGGCUAAACAUAUUACCGAAGCUGUGGAUUGUCCUUUGGACAAUGGUAGGAGAGCGUUCUAAGGGCGUUGAAGCAUGAUCGUAAGGACAUGUGGAGCGCUUAGAAGUGAGAAUGCCGGUGUGAGUAGCGAAAGACGGGUGAGAAUCCCGUCCACCGAUUGACUAAGGUUUCCAGAGGAAGGCUCGUCCGCUCUGGGUUAGU